GCUGUCGUCAGCUCGUGUUGUGAAAUGUUGGGUUAAGUCCCGCAACGAGCGCAACCCUUAUCCUUUGUUGCCAGCGGUCCGGCCGGGAACUCAAAGGAGACUGCCAGUGAUAAACUGGAGGAAGGUGGGGAUGACGUCAAGUCAUCAUGGCCCUUACGACCAGGGCUACACACGUGCUACAAUGGCGCAUACAAAGAGAAGCGACCUCGCGAGAGCAAGCGGACCUCAUAAAGUGCGUCGUAGUCCGGAUUGGAGUCUGCAACUCGACUCCAUGAAGUCGGAAUCGCUAGUAAUCGUGGAUCAGAAUGCCACGGUGAAUACGUUCCCGGGCCUUGUACACACCGCCCGUCACACCAUGGGAGUGGGUUGCAAAAGAAGUAGGUAGCUUAACCUUCGGGAGGGCGCUUACCACUUUGUGAUUCAUGACUGGGGUGAAGUCGUAACAAGGUAACCGUAGGGGAACCUGCGGUUGGAUCAC
rnacentral:rRNA from 1 species